AGAACGAACGCUGGCGGCAUGCCUAAUACAUGCAAGUCGAACGAACUCUUCGGAGUUAGUGGCGCACGGGUGCGUAACGCGUGGGAAUCUGCCCCUUGGUUCGGAAUAACAGUUGGAAACGACUGCUAAUACCGGAUGAUGACGAAAGUCCAAAGAUUUAUCGCCAAGGGAUGAGCCCGCGUAGGAUUAGCUAGUUGGUGAGGUAAAGGCUCACCAAGGCAACGAUCCUUAGCUGGUCUGAGAGGAUGAUCAGCCACACUGGGACUGAGACACGGCCCAGACUCCUACGGGAGCAGCAGUAGGGAAUAUUGGACAAGUGGGACGAAAGCCUGA
rnacentral:rRNA from 1 species